rnacentral:rRNA from 1 species
AUUGAACGCUGGCGGCAGGCUUAACACAUGCAAGUCGAGCGGAGAUGAGGUGCUUGCACCUUAUCUUAGCGGCGGACGGGUGAGUAAUGCUUAGGGAUCUGCCUAUUAGUGGGGGACAACAUUCCGAAAGGAAUGCUAAUACCGCAUACGCCCUGCGGGGGAAAGCAGGGGACCUUCGGACCUUGCGCUAAUAGAUGAGCCUAAGUCGGAUUAGCUAGUUGGUGGGGUAAAGGCCUACCAAGGCGACGAUCUGUAGCGGGUCUGAGAGGAUGAUCCGCCACACUGGGACUGAGACACGGCCCAGACUCCUACGGGAGGCAGCAGUGGGGAAUAUUGGACAAUGGGCGGAAGCCUGAUCCAGCCAUGCCGCGUGUGUGAAGAAGGCCUUUUGGUUGUAAAGCACUUUAAGCGAGGAGGAGGCUACUUAGAUUAAUACUCUAGGAUAGUGGACGUUACUCGCAGAAUAAGCACCGGCUAACUCUGUGCCAGCCGCCGCUGUAAUAC